UUGACGCAAAAAGCGUCGGAAUCGUCUUUCGGAGCACCAGUCUCUCUGCUCUUGAUUCUUAUCUCCGUUCUCUGGCGAUGAAGCUGGCUUUCGUUUGUUCCCCUCGAUUUCUUUGCAGCUGCAAAUGACUGAUGUCAUAAAGGACGUAAUGGACUUAGUCUUACCUAUUCUGAUAAUGCAACGGUAUGCAAUCUAGAGAAGAAGCGGCUGUUCGAAAAGCUUCUCUUCAUCAUUGUCAGGCAAACCGUCCAAAUAUGAAAUUCCCACAAUGAAUGGCAGACAACACAAACUUACUCCUAAUUACGCUUUGUGUGUAUGAACUAUCGAUCCAAAAAAUCAUGUCAUCUUCCAGAUUUUAUGCGUUUGGUCUCGCAGCUUCCUGCGAAUCUUAUUUCAAAAUGAUAUUAAUAACGUUUUUUUCUAUUUUCGGACGCAUACGUAUGUAGUUUGCUUGAGCAUUUCUGUCAGCCGGUUAUGCUAUGCACAUGGUUUAUUAUUAGAGACUGGAGAUGUGCUUGGAAAGGCGAAGAUAAGAGGCAAAGCUUCUGAUACAGAAGGGGAAAAAGCAAGUUGGUAUGUUCAAGGAAGGUCGUCAAGCUAUGCGGGUUUCUUCUCAGGUGAGAACCGAUCAUGCAUGUGUUGACAGAAGAUGGUGGCAGGUGGGUCAUUUGGUGGCAUGGCUCUGCUGAGUGCUGAUGGCCCUUUUCAGGGAUGACGUUGAGAGAUGCCAGCAGAAGAAAAGAAAGAAAACAAAAAAAGGAGGACAUGGCAAAGCGGUCCGCUGCAUCGAAGGCAAGCAUGCAUGUCAGAGAGAAGAUGGGCAUGUGGAUUGUUGGGGGAUGUCGUCUACACUGCAGGCCAAAUCUACGAAGCAGGGGCACUGUGGCAUCAAGAAGAAGCGGGACCACUUUGAAAAGUGCUUUGGGCUUCCGCUUGUCGCAACUAACCAUCGAUCGCUUCCCCAGACAUAUGAUUGUUAUCACCAUUAAUACUGCCCAAAAGACCGACUUGAGACUCUCUCUCUCUCUCUCUCACCACAGAAUUCAAAAGAUAAGUGGGAGGCAGGGGAAUUGCUGCUGCUGAUUAGAUGACCGAUGUGGGUUGCUACUAGGUCUGAGUAUGUGAAAUUCGACAUAUUCUUUUUCUUGAAAAUUGGCCUUUUGUUGUUGCUGGCAAUCUUUUAAGAGUUUUUAUUACUCUUUCGGAUACUCCUAGCAACUGCUGGUUGAUGCAAAUAUAGUAACUGUUGUCCUUAUUAGAUUACAGGCUUCAGUCCUUUCCUGUAAACGACACAUUUGUUUGUGAGUCCCCGGAGAUUGGCCUUGUCAAAUUGAUUCCUCCGAUGAAUAAUUGUUUUGGUGCCUUCUUUUAUGUUUUCGUUGUUUAUCUUCUGAGGUUCCAGUUGUCAUUCUUGGCUCUAUCUAUUGGGUUCGCAUGAGUUGAAGUUAUUGUAGUGCAGUGAGAUCUCCUGUGUGGUUUGAUGGAGAGGCAGUCAUAGUUCAGUUUGUACAUUUAGUAUUGUUUCAUCUGUUUAGACCGUGCUGGACUCCUAAUUCUUGUUUUUUUUUAUGCAUGUAUCGUGUCUUGCAUGUGAUUUAGCAUUUAUUCCUAGGCCCUGCAAAGUUUCUCCUGAGCUAAGGUCACACGUUGAAAUUCAAUUGUUUGGGUAGCUAUUGACUUACUCUGUUGCAUGCCAUGAGAUGACUGGGUUAUUCAUAUUACGUUCUAAGAUUUUGUCUUCCGCAAGCAAGUCCUUUUUGGUGGUUGUGUUUUCCAUCCAUUGAAGAAUUAGUGAGACAUAUGCUUUUAAACAAAAUGGUUGUGAACUAUUUUGUGGUGGGUAAGAAGCAGGUACCUUUAAGGUGAUCCUUUGGUGAUCAAGUUCUUGUUUUGUCUAAUCACAAACCUUACCAUAUUACCAUGACUUCUCAAGGAACUUCAGUUGAUAUUCUAUUAUUUUUUAAUUGUCAUAGCAUUUGAUAAUAGUGUAUUGCUUCCAGAUGAAUGCGUUAAUUAAUUGAUUGUUUUUGUACUAAUGCAACUGUGCUAAACUAAGAGAAGCCGUUGAUAAUUGAUAUGAUUCUUCAUGGUGUUUAUUCAGCAGGAUCUUUGGUUGUACAUAGUUUUGUCACUAGAAAACCACCUAGGAGCAUGUCCUCUUCUUCUUGCAGAUUGCUUUGAUUUCAAAGUUAUCACCUUCAUUUGAACUUUUUGUUUGCUUUAGUUGUGCUGUGGUAUUCAAAAGUGAUCACACACGCUUGAGAUGAUUCUGUAGUCAGGCCAUGAUUGAUGUUCUCUAGAAUGCCAUUCUGACAGUUCUGACAGUUUUAUUCUUCAGGUUCAGUUGUGAUGCUUUUGCCCCUCUCUCUAGGAGUGGCUUUUAACAAGCAUUCUUUUGUAGUUGAAAAAACUAAUAAUCUUAUCAAAAUGGAAGCUGUCCCUCACCUGUGCCUUCAGAAGAUACAUCCUCCUGAGUUGUCGAAACCCUGUGAAUCAUAUUCUAAUACUUUUUUCCAUCAAUCAUAUUGGUUUCUGAUACUGAAUGGUAUGUAGCCACAAAUGGCAUAUGUGAGGUACAAUCUACAAACAAAACCUUUGGAUGGAAUAUAUAAUGGCACACAUCCUUGAUCCAGAUUUGCUUCUCUCAAAUGCUUAAGCACAUUUUGUUUGACCUUAGAGGAUGUUGAGAGGCAUGCUAGACAGUCCCAUGGCAUUCAUUUUACUUGUUCGCACUAGACAGUCUCAUGGCAUGCUUGUUUCUGUUGUUCAUUUCACAUAGCAGCCUCACAAUGAGACCUUUUUUCUUGCAUUUUUUUAAUUCCUUGUUUCUUGAAUCAUGAGGUUGCUAGAAGAAAGUAACAUGGAUAUUCUUAGAAGCUGAUUUGAGGUAAAAUGUCACAAUGUUCAGUGACUUAAUGUGAACUGGUGAACAGAAAGUUCCUGAAAUAGCAGAUGAAGCCCAUGAGAGUGAAAAGAUGCAGAAGGUCUGUCAGUUUCUCAUUCAACUUGGCUGAGACUAAGUCCAGAUCAAAGUUCUCACAAAGUAGUGAGUCUGCAGCAAACAUUAUGUCUAUUCAAGAGCUUAUAGUUUGAUUUUCCGACUUAGAGAAAAUAGGCAACAUUUUAGUUACCUUCCCAGUUACUUUUUCCAUGAUUUAUCAAUUUAUAUGACAAAUUUGUCAUUCAAAGUUGGCGAAAGCAUUAGUAGAAGCUUUCCGCAAUUAUUAGUGCUUAGACAAGUGUGAAGUGUUCUUGCUCUUCAGUGAAGUGAGGAAAGUUGAAGCCUCCGCAUGAUGGUUUUGGCCAUCCCCGUUCAAAUUUUCACUUGGGACACGACCUCCCUAUGAAGGUUGUUUUUGUAUAGAUGAAUCAUGGAAGUGAAGAACUACAGGGCAUUAACCAAUGAAAAUUCACCUUCAUAAAGAGAUUCACAAAGCAUUCCUUCCUUACUAUUCUGACUUCAGUAUUCUAGGUGCUUCUUUUUGUGAGGGAUAUGGCUACUACAUUGGUUCUUGUCCAUCUGGACUUGCAAGCUAGAACCCAGCUAGCCAGAUUAUCUUUAUACAUCACAUCAUUAUGAUAGGUGUGUUCAUAUGUCAGGCAACCUUGCGCUCAAAACACUUAUUGGUGUGCUAACAUUUCACAUGCAUCAGCAGAAGUAAAAAAAAAUUGUUGGUUGUAAAAUUUACAUGCAUGGAUGAAACUCUUAACUGGUAUAAUUUUGUAAAUUUACAAAUUACAUCCUUAUAAAUCUGGUCACAAGAAUGGAUGUAACAUGCAUGGGUAUAUGAGCAAUAUGAUUGUUUCAGUUGCAGUAUCAAUGUAUGACAAUUUCCUGAAUGGAUGAAGAAAGACAUCACUCAUAUGGAGCAUGAUAGUGGAGGUAGAAUAGUGUGAAGAUGGUUGAUAAGUGUCAACACCAAUUGCGUGAAGUUGAGCCUUAGAUGUGCUUAUGAUAAAUGAUAAUGGAGUGGACCGCAUUGCUUGAUUAGUCAUUACGUGAUACAGAAAGGUCUUAUAGGUUUCUAACCGAGUAAACAUCGUGUAGUUUGAGCAAGCAAUCAUCACGUUGUUUUAGCGUACAUGCUACCAUAAGCAGUUUUUGUCACGUUGGUAAUGCAUGGUUGUCUUUUAGGUCCUCCAUGUCAGGCCAUAUAAAAGGUCUGUCUGCACAAGGUGCAUGAGUAUUUAGGUACUGGUGCUACAGAAGGAAUCAUAAGCACCGUUUGUCAGCACCUGUUUUUAGGUGAAAUUUUGACUUUCUGCCUGCAAGUUUUGAUUGACUAGACGCAGCAUUGUUUUUGUGAAACUUAGACUCUCCUGACGUGAGUUGUAUGCUUGCCACAAGGCAAGUGCACCAAGAGGUUCUUUUCUUCUGCUUUCACAAAACAUGGAGAUGCAAACACAGUAUUUGGGAGCAAGUGCACAACCACGUGCAUGCAUGAGAGAGUGAGAGAGUAUGUUUGUGGUUCUUUUUUCUUAUUGGCUGAAAGGCAUAGGGAAGAAUGAAUAUAUUAACUUCCAUGCAUGCUUCAUAUACUAAUUGUGCUGUUUUUGAGUGCUGCAAGUACAUUUCCUAUCAAGUGACAAACCUGUUUCUCAUCACAUGUGACUAAAGAAGGUACUUACCUUACAACGGAAAUGUGUUCCUAUGUGUAUUUCAUUAUGUGUGGGUGCGAGUGUGCAUAGUAUCCUAGGCUAUGAGGCUAUUUCCUCGUUAGCCUUGGUGCAAAUAACCAUAAGUUGAUGCUGAAAAAUAUUUAAAUAUAGCUUUUUCUAAAUAUGUAGCAUACCAUGUGACAGAAUCGGGACAUCCAUAAUCAUGCCAAGAUCCAUGACCUUAAUGGAGGAGUUGCCAGGUCUCUUGAAGGAUUAACCUUAUUGUCUUGACCGUUGCAGAAGAUUAUCUCUUCAUAAGUGCAAGCCUUAAUUUGCUUACUCCCACCACACAUGCAAUUGUCAUGUCAGCUAAUUUCAAUCAAGGCUUCGUGACUUUUUUUAAGGUCUUGAAAAUGCUGUUUAAGUGUUUAUGCAUCAGAAGUGAAUGAUUGAACGCAUGUUUCUUAGAAAAACAUGAACGUGUGCACAAAAAAUAUUAGUCCAGGUACAUCUAGAAUGGCAAAUGCUUGUUUACGUGUUUAUGCAUUUUCAUGAAAUUCCCUCGUUCUUUUAUGCGAGCAAAUAUGGUAAUUUAUCAUUUUAUACUGCUGUCUGCCUUAUUUGUAGAUAAUGCUGUGCCAAAUAGCGCUGUGGUCUUAUUAUUGGUACUUUUGGCUGUUAAUUUUAUUUCAAUAUCGAUCCUGAACGUUCAUCUUCUGCUAAAUUCCUAGUUGUGUUAGACUAGUUGUGUUGGGAGCAAAGUGGAAUGUGAAGGACAGAGGUAACACUAUUCUUCUGUAUGUGUGAAAUAAAAUUGUAAUAUCAUGAAGAUAAAAGUUUAAGCUUUCUUAUUGGUUUUGUUGAUAUUAUGGUUAGGACAUGAGGUAAAAGGUGGCUUCAAUUCUUUUUAGAAGUAUUUUGAUUGUGAAAAAUAAUAAGCAUGAAGCCCAUGCAUUUCGCAGACCGACAAGGACAGGAAUAUGCUCUGUAAAAGUUAUCUCCUGUAUAUUUCUCAGCAACCGUGAAGUUUCUCUUCGUUGCGUCAAAAACGAAAAAUGUGACGGCUCAGUCUAUAAUUGAUCUGAGUGCCUAGUGUGGCGCAUCCAGAUUCACCUCGUAGCCACUUUUAUUGAUCAUUUUAAAAGGCUAAAAAAAAACAGGGUGCUUAGUAGUAUGAAGCACGAGUAUUAAAAAAUGCUCAAGAUUUUCAAAAUUUUCAGCAUAUUUUUUAGUCCGAAUAUGUGAUUUCGUAAUGAAAAUUUUAGUUUGGCAUAUAUGUACCAAAAACUUCUCUUACCAAGACUUUCAUUAUUUGCAAUCAAAUUCACUUAUCACACUAAGCAAAAUGUCUGCAGCUUUCUUUUGGAGGGGACUAGUUUGCAUGUGCUGCAUCUUUACGUCCAUCCUGCGGGAAUCAAGCUGUAGUUCAUUUGUCCAUAUAGGUUUCACUGACAACUGCAAAUAUCUCAUGGAGAUAGAAUUGUCUUUAUAAAACAGCUUAAAAUGGUCUGCGGGUUAUGCUUGCUAGAUGAAAUCGUUGGUACAAAAAUCGUGUCUUAGUUCCAGAUUUAGUAAGUUAUGCCGUUUUGUUUCGUGAACAUUGUCACAUAUAUCAUGUACGGGUAUUAUAGAUUGAAAAAUUUUUUAGGUAUAAUACGACAAAGUUUUAUAUUUUGAUAAUAUUUCGAGAAAAUAUCGGCAAAGUUUUAAAAAAAAUAAAACAUUUAAUAGAUCUUAAAAAUUAUAAAAAAAUAAAAAGAUAUUAAAAAAUUUUAAAAACAUGAAAGAACACGCAUAAUAUGCAUUUUUUUCAUGUAAAAAAAAACUUGUUUUUUUCACGUUUUAUAUGUAUGACUUAUUUUUUGUGUAUUAUACACAUUGUUUUCAAAUAAGACUCGUUUUGUGUGACAUGCUGUGGUAGCUCUGGAUUUUUUUUUUCUCAGGUUUCCCUUUGCAAUUCAUGUUAAAGCAAGAAAACAUCCGACUGUUCAGAAAUAACACCAUGUGUCACGCACAUUCAUGUGGACAGGAGAAACCUAUUAUGUAAGGACAAACUAUGAGACACGCGGUAGACAUCAGAGUAUGAAUGAGAAAGAAAAUGAUGUUAUAGAUGCAAUGACUACGUGCCUCUUCAACAUUUAUUUUCUCAAGAAAUCAAGCGCAGACAUUUUCCCGAAACUAGACACUCUAUUCAGAAGCUCCACAAGAUUGUGUUAACAAACAGUAAAUAGUAAAACCCGACCCCGAAGAAAAAAAAACAUAGUUAGCCAGUUAGGGGAAUUUCUAGGUAUUGAAACUUGAAUAUUUACUAAGAAUAAUAAGAUAAUUACCAAAAAACUUAAUGUACAUGGUCUUCUUUUUAUUAAGUACAUAUGCUUGCUUUGAAAAGGAAUCUCUGAAACACAUGUUGCAGAGUAUCAGUUAUUGCAUCCGAUGCGGGUAUUCUGAAGGUUUGAACGAGCAAGUAGUCAAAACCAGUCUGUGCAUAUCAGAAAGAUACUGUAGUUUCGUCAUUAUUGGACAAGCAUCAUACAGUGCAGUGGAUGUGGCUUGCAAGUUGCAAAGACCAAAGCCAUGUACUAGGUACUGAAUGAGAAAGAGAACACGCGGCUUUCCUUUCCUCUGCUAGCUAUGUACUGAAAUCAGAAGUACUUAGUAUUCGUCUUUGAAUGGUUUCUGCACUGCAAAUAUGAAUGGUUGUUGUCUCCACUCGAAACGCAGAGAAGCACCGUGAAAUAAAGGCACUCUGAUUCCUUUUGGCUCAUAAGAGAAGAUGAU